UGGCCCAGUGCUUUGUGGUUGUGUAC
rnacentral:piRNA from 1 species